GUGGCUGCAGGCCAGCUGCUCUGAUUCUGCUCUGCGUGUCUUCAAGCUGGCGCUCGAGCUGAAGGAACUGCCCUUGUGUGGGAGAUGGGAUCUCGUGGCAGAGGACACACAGCUGCUUCUAGAUGGUGCUCGUAUCCGUCUGCACGGGCAGCAGGAAGGAAGUGCUCCCUAGAGAACCAGGCAGGGAGCUGAAGGCAGUGAGGGAGUGCAGUGGAACAGGCUCAGCAGGGAGAAGAGGAGGAACCAGGAAUUGAGAGAGGAAGUCUGCUUCUAGCUUGGCACUGGACGGACACGUGAGCUGAGGGACAUGGACCUGCUUACUAUCCUCUAGCCAUGAACACCUGAGGAGUCAUGCUGCGGAGAAGUAUGUUAAGUAAGCUGCUCCAUGGGAAUACAGGGAACAUUAAUAUAGAUGAAUAAAUUAAAAGUUUGCAGAGCACUUACGAGCUUCUCAAACAAAAGGUAAAGAAUAAAACUAAUAAAAGCAUUAUGAUUACACAAAAGGUCAGGCUACAACAGAAAAAAGAAUCUGAGAACAUCGCAGCAUCAGAGUUAUCAGCAAAGGUCCCAUAACUUCUCUUUUAAUU